rnacentral:rRNA from 1 species
CUUGGUCAUUUAGAGGAAGUAAAAGUCGUAACAAGGUCUCCGUAGGUGAGCCUGCGGAGGGAUCAUUACAAGUGACCCCGGUCUAACCACCGGGAUGUUCAUAACCCUUUGUUGUCCGACUCUGUUGCCUCCGGGGCGACCCUGCCUUCGGGCGGGGGCUCCGGGUGGACACUUCAAACUCUUGCGUAACUUUGCAGUCUGAGUAAACUUAAUUAAUAAAUUAAAACUUUUAACAACGGAUCUCUUGGUUCUGGCAUCGAUGAAGAACGCAGCGAAAUGCGAUAAGUAAUGUGAAUUGCAGAAUUCAGUGAAUCAUCGAAUCUUUGAACGCACAUUGCGCCCCCUGGUAUUCCGGGGGGCAUGCCUGUUCGAGCGUCAUUUCACCACUCAAGCCUCGCUUGGUAUUGGGCAUCGCGGUCCGCCGCGUGCCUCAAAUCGACCGGCUGGGUCUUCUGUCCCCUAAGCGUUGUGGAAACUAUUCGCUAAAGGGUGUUCGGGAGGCUACGCCGUAAAACAACCCCAUUUCUAAGGUUGACCUCGGAUCAGGUAGGGAUACCCGCUGAACUUAAGCAUAUCAAUAAGCGGAGGA